rnacentral:lncRNA from 1 species
GGUGUAUUGGCUGUUGACUGUUGGCUCCAGAUGAUCAGGAUCUUAGUGACCGGUCACAAGAAACUGAAGUAAAACAAAACAACACCAACAACAUCUUUGCGUUCACGUAUCGGUGGUUGAUUCUCUCUGGGACGGUCGCACGUUUCCUUUUAACUUGGCCGUUCACAGUCAUCUCCCUCUGAAUCAGCUGGUCAUUCAAGGACAACGAGGGGUUGGGGGUAAAAAUCCUCAAAACGGAUGCCUCCAGUAUCACAAGCUCCAGCGUGCAGCGCCCGCUCACUGAUUAACCACCAGACGCGAUAAGAUCUAUUGGCCGAGCUGAUAAGACCUGGCUCCUCCAGCACAGGGGCAGAUCAUUGACACUCAGCACAGGAUUAUGAAACGCCGAUGCUUCAGCGGCAGCCAGUGUUUCGCAGAAGUGGAGAGUUGAUCCAUUCUGUUCUGGCCACUGUUGGAUGUUCUCCCUCACCACGGCUGACCCGACCCUGUGACCUUUACCACAGAGUGAUUGGUAGGAACCUGCUCUCAUGGACAUUUCUGCAUAAACAACAUGUGAUAAAGGUCACACCAGGUUCCACCUAUGGCUCGGCAGCAGAAGACCUGCCCCUGCAUCGAUGCAGAUCCUUCCAGACCACGCGUCUGCGGCCGACAUGAGUCGAGCGGCUGUUAUUCCUGGGAACGGGCGUGCGGUGGGACAGGAAGCUCAGACCCCAGGAUGCCGUCUGCGGGGCUAAUGAUUAACGAGCGGCCCAUCGCGGGGGGAGAGGAGCAGAAUCCUGCCCCGGCUUCGGUCGGUGCAGGGCGCUAACGACGCCGUCACAAACUCCGUGAACUCACUCCGGGGCACAGACUUUGAUCUUUGAUCAGCGCUUCGCAGGCGUCCAUUCAUAAAUUCAAUAGGUUCAUUGAGAAAGCAAACAGAAAACGCACAAAGUCAGGACUUUGCAAUCUGUGCUUUUAAGGUAAUUGUUAUCGUUUUUUAGGAAUAUUUAUUUACCAAAAACUCCCUGUGAUACUGAGAAUAAGGAAUCCAUUUCAUAAGUUAAAUAAAUUAAAUAAUAUAUAUGAUUUUAACA